UACAGAGGUCCCGAGCGUUGUUCGGAUUCACUGGGCGUAAAGGGUGCGUAGGUGGCCAGGUAAGUUCGGUGUGAAAGCUCGGAGCUCAACUCCGAAAAGGCAUUGAAUACUAUCUGGCUGGAGGGUCGGAGGGGAGACUGGAAUUCUCGGUGUAGCAGUGAAAUGCGUAGAUAUCGAGAGGAACACCAGUGGCGAAGGCGAGUCUCUGGACGACACCUGACACUGAGGCACGAAAGCCAGGGGAGCAAACAGG
rnacentral:rRNA from 1 species